UCGAGGAUCUUUGGCAAUGGACGCAAGUCUGACCAAGCGACGCCGCGUGUGCGAUGAAGGCCUUCGGGUUGUAAAGCACUGUCGAGGGGGACGAAGCCGAAAGGUUGACCGAUCCCUGGAGGAAGCACGGGCUAAGUUCGUGCCAGCAGCCGCGGUAAGACGAACCGUGCGAACGUUGUUCGGAAUCACUGGGCUUAAAGGGCGCGUAGGCGGCUUGCCAAGUCAGGGGUGAAAUCCUCCAGCUUAACUGGAGAAGUGCCUUUGAUACUGGCGAGCUAGAGUGAGGUAGGGGCAUGUGGAACUUCUGGUGGAGCGGUGAAAUGCGUUGAUAUCAGAAGGAACGCCGGUGGCGAAAGCGACGUGCUGGACCUUUUCUGACGCUGAGGCGCGAAAGCUAGGGGAGCAAACGGGAUUAGAUACCCCCGUAGUCC
rnacentral:rRNA from 1 species